UAAUACGUAGGUUGCGAGCGUUGUCCGGAUUUACUGGGCGUAAAGCGCACGCAGGCGGUUCCGAAAGUCGAAUGUGAAAGCUCCCGGCCCAACUGGGAGAGGCCGUUCGAAACUUCGGGACUUGAAGGCGGGAGAGGCAGACGGAAUUCCGGGUGUAGCGGUGGAAUGCGUAGAGAUCCGGAGGAAGACCGGUGGCGAAGGCGGUCUGCUGGGCAGUUUCUGACACUGAGGCGCGACAGCGUGGGGAGCAAACAGGAUUAGAUACCCUGGUAGUCCACGCCGUAAACGAUGGGUACUAGGUGCCUGGGGGAGCGACCCUCUGGGUGCCGGCGCUAACGCAGGAAGUACCCCGCCUGGGGAGUACGACCGCAAGGUUG
rnacentral:rRNA from 1 species